rnacentral:rRNA from 1 species
AGGACGAACGCUGGCGGCGUGCCUCAUACAUGCAAGUGGAGCGACGAACCAGGAUUUAUCCUGGGGCAAAGCCGCGAACGGGUGAGUAACACGUGGGUUACCUGCCCCGAUGAUUGGGACAACCCGAGGAAACUCGGGCUAAUACCAAAUGUGUUCUUGGUCGUGAUGACCAAGAAGAAAGGAAGCCUCGGCCUCCGCAUCGGGAUGGGCCCGCGGCCCAUUAGCUAGUUGGUGGGGUAAUGGCCUACCAAGGCGACGAUGGGUAGCUGGUCUGAGAGGAUGAUCAGCCACACUGGGACUGAGACACGGCCCAGACUCCUACGGGAGGCAGCAGUGGGGAAUAUUGGACAAUGGGGGCAACCCUGAUCCAGCAAUGCCGCGUGGGUGAAGAAGGUCUUCGGAUUGUAAAGCCCUUUCGACGGGACGAUGAUGACGGUACCCGUAGAAGAAGCCCGGCUAACUUCGUGCCAGCAGCCGC